UACUGAAUCUAGAAUCGAGCCAGUCGAUGAUGUCAUUAAAGACACCGGUUUCAGCCGGCAUCUUACGUACACGAAGGAUCCGAUCCAGUGAAAUCACGAGGGUUCUUCGACACCGGGCGGAGAUUAACCGAGAAACUAGUAAGGUCAACGACUCUCCUUCUCGUUCCACUAGUGCAGACUGUGAAAGAAGAAUAAGAAUAAGAAGAAGUAGAAAGACAGAAAGAGAGAUUGAGAGAAGGGGGGGAGAGGGUGGGGAAUUUAUCGUCGUCGAGCAUCGACCAGGAAUAGGCGUAAAAGAUGGAGACGAGCACCCAUUGCAAAAGAAUAACAGAGGUGAACACAGAAGAGUAACAAAGAGAAAGAAAGACAAAAA
rnacentral:lncRNA from 1 species